CGCCUCCAAGUUUCAUAAAUAACCCGUCAAGUCACUGUCUGUCACAUUUCCUUCCAUCAGCUCCUGGUUAAUCGUCAAGGAUGAAACUCGCAGUCGUCUUCCUUUUGGGUUUACUCAUUUCCGUGGUGAUGUUUGAGGGAGCCAUGUCCCACCGCCGCUGUCGUCGACACAGACGUCACCGUCAUUCCAGCAGCUCAAGCUACAGUCAUCACCAUCAUCACCAUGGUCACCAUCACCAUGGACACCACGGUCAUCAUCACCAUGGACACCACGGUCAUCAUCACCAUGGACACCACGGUCAUCAUCAUGGUCACCAUGGACAUCAUCAUCAUCAUCAUGGAAAAUAGCAAUGGGUGGUUCUGACAUCUUGCCAAGUGUACAGUGUACCUUGACUGUCUACAGCCAAUAAAUAUAUUAAAACAUGUU